GAAGUAAAAGUCGUAACAAGGUUUCCGUAGGUGAACCUGCGGAAGGAUCAUUAUUGAAAUAAACCUGAUGAGUUGCUGCUGGCUCUCUUGGGAGCAUGUGCACACUUGUCGUCUUUAUAUCUCCACCUGUGCACCUUUUGUAGACUUUGGAUAUCUUUCUGAGUGCUUGUCACUCAGGUUCUUGAGGAUUGACUUUACGUCUCUCUUUACAUUUCCAAGUCUAUGUUUCUUCAUAUACUCAAUGUAUGUCUUAGAGUGUAAUUAAUGGGCCAUUGUGCCUAUAAACUUAUACAACUUUCAGCAACGGAUCUCUUGGCUCUCGCAUCGAUGAAGAACGCAGCGAAAUGCGAUAAGUAAUGUGAAUUGCAGAAUUCAGUGAAUCAUCGAAUCUUUGAACGCACCUUGCGCUCCUUGGUAUUCCGAGGAGCAUGCCUGUUUGAGUGUCAUUAAUAUAUAUCAACCUCUUCAACUGUGUUGAGUGUUGGAUGUGGGGGUUUCCUUUUGCUGGCCUCUUUAAAAAGGUCAGCUCCCCUAAAAUGUAUUAGCGGAACAGUUUGUGGAUCGUUCAUUGGUGUGAUAACUAUCUACGCUAUAGACGAGAAACAGUUUCUGCUUCUAAUAGUCCAUUUAUUUGGACAACUCUUUUUUAUUAAUGUGACCUCAAAUCAGGUAGGACUACCCGCUGAACYUAAGCAUAUCAAUAAGCGGAGGAAAAGAAACUAACAAGGAUUCCCCUAGUAACUGCGAGUGAAGCGGGAAAAGCUCAAAUUUAAAAUCUGUCAGUCUUUGGCUGUCCGAGUUGUAAUCUAGAGAAGUGUUAUCCGCGCUGGACCGUGUACAAGUCUCCUGGAAUGGAGCGUCAUAGAGGGUGAGAAUCCCGUCUUUGACACGGAUUGCCAGGGCUUUUGUGAUAUGCUCUCAAAGAGUCGAGUUGUUUGGGAAUGCAGCUCAAAAUGGGUGGUAAAUUCCAUCUAAAGCUAAAUAUUGGCGAGAGACCGAUAGCGAACAAGUACCGUGAGGGAAAGAUGAAAAGAACUUUGGAAAGAGAGUUAAACAGUACGUGAAAUUGCUGAAAGGGAAACGCUUGAAGUCAGUCGCGUUGGUCAGGGAUCAACCUUGCUUUUGCUCGGUGUACUUUCUGGUCAACGGGUCAGCAUCAAUUUUGACUGUUGGAAAAAGGUCAGGGGAAUGUGGCAUCUUUAGAUGUGUUAUAGCCCUUGGUUGUAUACAAUGGUUGGGAUUGAGGAACUCAGCACGCCGCAAGGCCGGGUAAUUUUACUACGUACGUGCUUAGGAUGCUGGCAUAAUGGCUUUAAUCGACCC
rnacentral:rRNA from 1 species